rnacentral:rRNA from 1 species
CUUCCGCAAUGGACGAAAGUCUGACGGAGCAACGCCGCGCGCGUGAUGAAGGUCUUCGGAUCGUAAAACUCUGUUGUUAGGGCAGAACAAGUACAGGAGUCACUGCCGGUACCUUGACGGUACCUGCCGAGAAAGCCACGGCUAACUACGUGCCAGCAGCCGCGGUAAUACGUAGGUGGCAAGCGUUGUCCGGAUUUAUUGGGCGUAAAGCGCGCGCAGGCGGUCUUUUAAGUCUGAUGUGAAAUCUUACAGCUUAAAUGUAAGAGGUCAUUGGAAACUGGGACACUUGAGUGCAGAAGAGGAGCGUGGAAUGCCAUGUGUAGCGGUGAAAUGCGUAGAGAUAUGGAGGAACACCAGUGGCGAAGGCGACGCUCUGGUCUGUAACUGACGCUGAGGCGCGAAAGCGUGGGGAUCAAACA